AACCAAAUCGGGCUAUAAAAUGUAUAAGAUCAUUUUAAUAAAAAUUACCAAUACUAUGUCUAAUAGAAACUAUCGGUAAAUUCAUUGAAAAUUAUAUCAAAAUCUAAUACUUUCUACCAGUUCGUCGAUAUCGGGCAGUAUCCGGUGAAAGAUACUAGAAAAUCCAAUAAAUCUUAAGAACUUUCAACAGUUUUUGAAAUGUAUUGGGAAAUCCAGUAGAUUUGUUCGUUGAGUUUUCGAUACCUGUUCAGACUCAGAGUAAGUAAACCAGCAGCCGGCAAACGUAAAAUGAAUUUAAACAGGACGUCUGGUGUAUUUAUGACCCCAGUUUGUUCAUCAGGGUGGUGCGGAAUCGGAAAAUCCUUAUGCAGCGAAUAAUCAAACAGCUAGUGAUAAAAAAUUUCCUCAAGAAUGUUAAAACUCGUCCUAAUGCAUGAUUAUGAUCCGGAAAAAGCUCACUGGAGGUUCAUCAUAUUUAACACACAUUAACUUGAGAAUAAUAAUAAUUAUUAAGCUACAAUUUGAAAAAUCUGAUGAAUACCGCUCGCUGUUCCUUCAUUCCAUUUCCGGCCCGCGAGACUCUUUAGGAACCAGAAGUACUUCCGGACCUGCCACCGAUUCUAGUUGAACAGAUCUUCGCGAUUAUGAGAAGUUUUUAAUCGGUGACAACAUAUUAACGGAGCUUGGAAUGACGUGUGGAAUCCUUAAACUGGAACAGUACUGCUGAGAACAAUAGAACCGAGUCCGGAAUGUUCACCAAAUGUACAUGGCCAAUUGAUUGGAACGGAAAGUUUCGGAAAGUUAUAACAAUAAAUAUGUUUAAUCAAGCUCCAUAAUGUUUCUCAUUUACGCUGCAGUGAAUAAAAACAAAUUAAUUUCAGAAUAAAUUGAACAACGGCAUAUUUUAUGGAAUCUAUGAACUAUUAAUUUUACUUUUUUAAAUUAUAAAUCAAAUCAUCCUGGCGCACUUUGAAAUUCAUUGAAAAUUCCUAUAAAAUGAAUCACCCCGAUUUCGACCGUCAAAUAGUAAAAAGUAUUGGAUUUUCCUUUAGUGCAAAAACACUAGAAUUUCCAAUAAAGCUUAUAGCUCGAUUUCGG